rnacentral:SRP_RNA from 1 species
GCCGGGCACGGUGGCGCACACCUGUAGUCACAGCUACUCUGGAGGCUGAGACAGGAAGAUUACUUGAGUCCAGGAGUUCUGGGCUGUAGUGCUGAUCAGGUGUCCGCACUAAGUUCGGCAUCAAUAUGGUGACAUCCCGGGGACAGGGCACCACCAGGUUGCCUAAGGAGGGGUGAACCGGUUCAGGUCAGAAACGGAGCAGGUAAAAAUUCCCCGGGCUGAUCAGUAGUGGGAUCGCGCCUGUGAAUAGCCACUGCACUCCAGCCUGGGCAACACAUCGAGAACCCGUCUCU